AUUGAACGCUGGCGGCAGGCCUAACACAUGCAAGUCGAGCGAGCGGCGGACGGGUGAGUAAUGUAUGGGGACUGCCCGAUAGAGGGGGAUAACUACUGGAAAAGGUAGCUAAUACCGCAUACUAUCGGAUAACCCAUAGGGGAUUAGCUAGUAGGUGAGGUAAUGGCUCACCUAGGCGAAGAUCCAUAGCUGGUCUGAGAGGAUGAUCAGCCACACGUGGACUGAGACACGGCCCAGACUCCUACGGAGGCAGCAGGGGGGAAUAUUGCACAGUGGGCGCAAGCCUGAUGCAGCCAUGCCGGGUGUAUGAAGAAGGCCCUAGGGUUGUAAAGUCCUUUCAGUCGGGAGGCGUUACCGACAGAAGAAGCACCGGCUAACGCCGUGCCAGCAGCCGCGGUAAUUC
rnacentral:rRNA from 1 species